GCCUUUGUGGUGUAGUGGUUAGCACUCUCGACGCGAAUUCGAGAGGCCCGUGGUUCGAGUCCCGGCGAAGGCG
rnacentral:tRNA from 1 species